rnacentral:rRNA from 1 species
GCGAGUGAAGCGGCAAGAGCUCAGAUUUGGAAUCGUGUUUCGGCACGAGUUGUAAAUUGCAGGUUGGAGUCUUUGUGGAAGCGUGUGUCCAAGUCCCUUGGAACAGGGCGCCAUUGAGGGUGAGAGCCCCGUGGGAUGCGCGCGGAAGCAACAAGGCCCUUCUGACGAGUCGAGUUGUUUGGGAAUGCAGCUCUAAGCGGGUGGUAAAUUCCAUCUAAGGCUAAAUACUGGCGAGAGACCGAUAGCGAACAAGUACUGUGAAGGAAAGAUGAAAAGCACUUUGAAAAGAGAGUGAAACAGCACGUGAAAUUGUUGAAAGGGAAGGGUAUUGGGCCCGACAUGGGGAUUGCGCAUCUCUGCUCCUUGUGGGCGGGGCGCUGUGCUUUUCCUGGGCCAGCAUCGGUUUUUGCCGCAGGAGAAGGGGUACUGGAAUGUGGCUCCUCGGAGUGUUAUAGCCAGUGCCAGAUGCUGCGUGCGGGGACCGAGGGCUGCGACAUCUGUCUCGGAUGCUGGCACAACGGCGCAAUACCGCCC